CGUCAAAUCAUCAUGCCCCUUAUGUCCUGGGCUACACACGUAAUACAAUGGCGCAAAACAGAGGGAAGCAAGGCUGUGAAGCGGAGCAAAUCCCUAAAAGGCGUCUCAGUUCGGAUCGCAGGCUGCAACCCGCCUGCGUGAAGUCGGAAUUGCUAGUAAUCGCGGAUCAGCAUGCCGCGGUGAAUACGUUCCCGGGCCUU
rnacentral:rRNA from 1 species